GACGAACGCUGGCGGCGUGCCUAAUACAUGCAAGUCGAACGCACUCUCGUUUAGAUUGACGGAGUUUGCUCCUGAUUGAUAAACAUUUGAGUGAGUGGCGGACGGGUGAGUAACACGUGGGUAACCUGCCCUAAAGUGGGGGAUAACAUUUGGAAACAGAUGCUAAUACCGCAUAAAACCUAACACCGCAUGGUGUAGGGUUGAAAGAUGGUUUCGGCUAUCACUUUAGGAUGGACCCGCGGUGCAUUAGUUAGUUGGUGAGGUAAAGGCUCACCAAGACCGUGAUGCAUAGCCGACCUGAGAGGGUAAUCGGCCACACUGGGACUGAGACACGGCCCAGGCUCCUACGGGAGGCAGCAGUAGGGAAUCUUCCACAAUGGACGAAAGUCUGAUGGAGCAACGCCGCGUGAGUGAAGAAGGUUUUCGGAUCGUAAAACUCUGUUGUUGGAGAAGAAUGUAUCUGAUAGUAACUGAUCAGGUAGUGACGGUAUCCAACCAGAAAGCCACGGCUAACUACGUG
rnacentral:rRNA from 1 species